GCCCCCAUGGUGUAGCGGUUAGCACGGCGCCCUUUCACGGCGUUAGCACGGGUUCGAUCCCCGUUGGGGGUA
rnacentral:tRNA from 1 species